UUAGCGUGAUGUAUAUUAAGACUAAAAUUAGUGUUGGUAUACGUGGUUCAAUCAAGCAGCAUAAGAAUGUUCGGGAAUUGCUAAAGGCUAUUGACAAGCAAUUCGUCACUUCAGAUAAAGCCUUGGAGAGCACCCUAAUUAUGAAGUUCACAUCCCUGAAGCUCAUCGGUAUAAUAGGUGUACAUGAACACAUCAUGGAAAUGAGGGACAUAGUGGCUCAAAUGAAGAAGCUCGAGGUAGAAAUGUCUAAAUCCUUCUUGGUGCACUUUAUCCUUAAUACUCUUCCGCCUCAAUAUGGACCUUUCAAAAUCUCUUACAACAUACAUAAGGAUAAGUGGUAUAUCAAUGAAUUGAUGACCAUGUGUGUUCAAGAGGAAGAAAGGUUAAUGAUGGAGCAAGGAGAAAGUGUCAUGCUAGUAACACAAAAAAUAAAAAAAAAAAAAAAAUAAAAUUCUGAAGCCAGUCAAAAAGAGAAACAUCAAAUUUCUCUCAAAGCUGACAUUAAGAAAAAUGAAAAGUGUUUCUUUUGUAAAAAAAAAGGACACGUGAAGAAGAAAUAUCUAAAAUUCCAGAAAUGGCUUGAGAAGAAAGGUAACCUUACCUCGUUUGUUUGUUAUGAAUUUAAUAUGGUUAACGUAAAUACCAACACAUGGUGGAUUGAUUCUAGAUCUACAAUCCACAUUUCAAAUUCCUUGUAGGGUAUACAAAACCUAAGGAAGCCAGUGAGUAGUGAGCAAUUCAUCUUAUUCGAAAACAAGAUGGGCUUGCAUGUGGAAGCAAUAGGGACAUGUUAUUUAACUUUAGAUUGUGGUUUUGUUUUAGAAUUGCAAAGGACCUUUUAUGUACCAAGUUUCUCACGAAACUUGAUUUCAGUUUCUAGACUUUACCUUUUGGAUAUUCCUUUCAUUUUUCAGAAACAUCUUUCAAUUUGACUUAUAAAUCUAAUUGUGUUAGGAAUGGUAUUUUGUAUGAUGGUCUUUAUCGCAUAUUCUUACAAAAUGAUACCACUUAUAAUUCAUUACAUGUCCAAAUUGGCAUUAAGAGAUGUGUUAUAAAUGAGGAUUCCUCUACAUUAUGGCACCAGAGAUUAGGUCAUAUCUCCAUAGAUAGAAUCAAAAGGUUGGUAAAUGAUGGGGUACUUAGUACUCUAGAUUUUACUGACUUUGAGACUUGUGUGGACUGCAUUAAAGAAAAGCAUACCAACAAGUCAAAGAGAGGUACUACUAGAAGUUCUAUCAUAUUAGAGAUCAUACAUACUGAUAUAUGUAGUCUAGAUAUGGACUCUCAUGGUCAUAAAUACUUCAUCUCUUCCAUAGAUGAUUUCUCAUGAUACAUGUAUCUCUACAUACUUCACAACAAAAAUGAAGCAUUAGAUGACUUUAAGGUUUUCAAUGCAGAAGUAGAGAAACAAUGCGGUAAACAAAUUAAGAUCAUGAGAUCAAAUAGAGGUGGAGAAUAUUAUGGUAGAUAUAUGGAAGAUGGGCAAGCACUUGGGCCAUUUGCGAAGUUUCUUCAAGAGAAUGGGAUUGUUGCCCAAUACACCAUGACUGGUUCUCCAGACCAAAAUGGUGUAGCAGAGAGAAGAAACCAAACUUUAUUGGACAUGGUGGAGUAUGCUGAGCAACUCAAAACUUACUAGGUUCUUGUGGAUUGAAGCACUUAAGAUGAUAGUGUAUAUAAUAAACCGAGUUCCAACCAAGGCUAUCUCGAAGACGCCAUUUGAUUUAUGGAAAGGUUGGAAACCGAUUUUGUGACAUAUGCACAUUUGAGAAUGCUCGUUUGAAAUGAGAAUUUAUAAUCCACAAGAGAAAAAACUGAACCCAAGGACUAUAAGUGGGUAUUUCAUUGGAUAUGUUGAAAAGUCUAAGGGGUACAGAUUUUAUUAUCCAUCUCACAACACUAGGAUUGUGGAAUCAAGAAAUGCUAAAUUUCUUGAAUAUGACUUGGUCAGUGGGAGCCAUCAAUUUAGAAACAUAGUUUCUGAUAUUGAUCAUACAAGGUCUCAACCUUCCACUUCGAGUGAUAGAUUGUUUGUUGUUCAUAACACCCUUCAAGUUUAAACGGGUGUAGAACAAACAAUCACUAAAGUAUAACCAAUCACUAAAGACCAACCAGUCAUUGAAGUUCCACAAGUUGUUGACAACAUUUCAGUAGAUCAAGUUGAUUAGGAGUUGCUUGACACUUCUGAACAACAAGUUGAACCUCAUACUUCCCUAGAAGAUAAUGGAACAACCUUAAGAAGGUCUACUCGAACUAAGAGGUCAGCAAUUCCUAGUGAUUAUGUAGUGUAUCUACAAGAAUCUGACUACAAUACAAGAGCCGAAAAUGAUCCCAAGUUUUUUUCACAAGUCAUGAGUUGCAAAGAAUCAAAAUAGUGGUACAAUGCCAUGAAGGAUGAGAUGAGUUCCAUGAGGUGCAAUGAUGUUUGGGACCUUGUUGAGUUGCUUAAUGGUGCAAAAGCCAUUGGUUGUAAAUGGUUUUUUAAGACAAAGAAAGACUCAUUAGACAACAUUGAGAGAUACAAGGCUAGACUUGUUGCAAAGGGGUUCACUCAGAAAGAAGGAAUCGAUUACACGGAGACCUUUUCCCCUGUAUCUAAGAAAGAUUCCUUACACAUUAUAAUGGCAUUGGUAGCCCACUUUGAUUUGGAAUUGCAACAAAUGGAUGUGAAAACUGCAUUUCUUAAUGGAGAGCUAGAAGAGGAGGUUUACAUGAAACAACUUGAAGGAUUCCUCUCUAGUGAUGGUGAGCAAUUGGUUUGCAAGCUUAAGAAAUCCAUAUACAAUUUAAAACAAGCAUCCCGCUAAUGGUAUUUAAAAUUCCAUAACAUAAUUUCUUCAUUUGGUUUUGUAGAAAAUGUUAUGGAUCAAUGCAUAUACCUUAAGGUUAGUGAAAGUAAAGUUUGUUUUCUUGUUUUAUACGUGGAUGACAUCUUACUUGCAACCAAUGAUAAGGGUUUACUUCAUGAGGUGAAACAAUCCCUCUCUAAAAUUUUUGACAUGAAGGAUAUGGGUGAGGCAUCUUAUGUCAUUGGCAUUAAGAUCUAUAGAGACAUAUUUCAAGGUAUCUUAGGUCUAUCUCAGAAAACCUAUAUCAAUAAAGUUUUAGAGAGAUUUCAGAUGAAGGAUUGUUCACCUAGUGUUUCCUCUAUAGUGAAGGGUGAUAGGUUCAAUCUGAACCAAUGCCCAAAAAACGAUCUUGAGAGGGAACAAAUGAAGAACAUUCCAUAUGCUUCUACAAUCUGAAGUCUGAUGUAUGCUCAGGUUUGCACAAGGCCUGACAUUGCAUUUGUUGUUGGAAUGUUAGGAUGAUAUCAGAGUAACCCAGGUUUGGACCACUAAGAGUUGCAAAGAAAGUGAUGAGAUAUCUUCAUGGAACCAAAUACUAUAAGCUUAUAUACAUACGGACAAGCAACUUAGAGGUUGUUGGCUACUCAGAUUCAGACUUUGUUGGUUGUGUUGAUUCGCGUAAAUCAACAACUGGAUACAUUUUUAUAUUGGCUGGUGGAGCUAUAUCUUAGAGGAGCAUUAAGUAGACCUUGACUGCUACUUCUACUAUGGAAGCUGAGUUCAUAUCCUGUUUUGAGGCUAUUUCGCAUGGUGUAUGACUUAAGAGUUUCAUUUUCGAGCUUAGAAUUAUGGAUUCAAUAUCUAGGCCAUUGAGUAUAUAUUGCGACAAUUCAGUUUCUGUCUUUAUGGCAAAGAACAAUCAAAGUGGAAGUCGAAGCAAACACAUCGACAUUAAAUAUCUAGCCAUAAAAGAACAUGUUAAAGAAAAGAAAGUGAUUACUGAGCACAUUAGCACUGAAUUGAUGAUCGUUGAUCCUUUGACUAAGGGCAUGCCACCAUUGAAAUUCAAGGAUCAUAUAGUGAACAUGGGACUUAGUUCCCUUAUGUAGUUUCUAUUGUACAAACUCUUAUUAUGAUGUUUUCUCAUAUUGAUGUGCACUUUUAUUUAAUUUUGAGAAAAUUUAACUUUAUUGGACCAAGAAUGAACAUAAGGUUUAUUCAUUAAGUAAUAUUUCCACAUAAAGUAUAAUGUUAAGAAAUAAAUACACUAUAAUACAUGGAAGGUAACACUCGUUAUAUAGAGGACUUAUCGCCAUGAUUCAUGUAUUUGUUACUUAAUGCGGAUAAUUGGUGGACUAAGAUGAGACAUUAGGUUAAAGGUGUGGACCAAGUGGGAGAAUGUUAUCUAUUACACGCCCACAACACCUUUGAAGUGGUCUUAAACUUUGACCAAAUCCUCCACACACCUUCCCGCUACAUAAUGGUGGUAAAUGGCAAUGACGUGGUUUUGAUGGGAAGCCACAUCUCUAAAUAUCAGUUUUUGGUCCCAAACUCGUCUCUCUGUUGUUCUCUUCUACAGUGAUAUAUCAUCUCAUGUGAGAGAUUAGAGUUUGGAAGAAUCAAAGACUUGCAGCAACUAGUGAGUACAAAAUUCAAACACUAAUAGCUAGAGGUAAAUAGCUGAUCCUAAACCUUUUUUAGUUUUGAUUCGUAUGGCAAUGUUUUCAUACUCUUUUGGAUUGUAUGUAUUCUUACAAUAAGAUCCCGUGGAAUGACAAUAGGGAAAAGUAUGUUUUCUCUUAUUCUCUUCUACUUGCAUAGUUUGUGAAGUAAUUUUCAGUGUAUAAACCAACUUUGAAUAUAUUUUUAAUUGGAUAAAAUUCUACCACCUAUUUGAAAAGAAUUCUACCACAAUUGUUCAUUGUUUGAUAAGUCUAUACCAAAUACAAAACUACCAUAUUUGUGAGCAAAUAAAUUAAUUAUGUUUAUAUAUACUAUGGCUUAGAUUACCUAUACAUUAUCAUUCUUAUAUUUCUUUUAUAAUUUCUAUUUAAUAGACAAACUUUCAUAUUCUUAGAUUAGUUUUGAAAUUUCGCAUUACACAUACUAACUUCUAGUUUUAUACCUAUCCAAUCUCAAAUUUUCAAAUUCCAUAUGUAUUCAAAUCUUAUUAAGUAUAGUAUUGACUUUCAAAUCGUAUAUACUAUCACCUAUUGCUAUUAGAUACUUAUCCAAUUCUCAUAUUUCAUGUUAGGAUAUAAUAUUCUAUUGUUUUAUGAGCUAACCCAAACUCCCCUUCAUAUCCCUAUAGAUAAAUUUAUUAUUAGAUAUUAUUUCUUCCAUUCAUAUUCAAAAGUCAUAAAAGGCCUCAUCUUGCGGCAUUGGUGGUUCCUCUUAUCAUUUUAAGUUAAUGAUUUAAAAUAAAUUUUUAAGUUAAUUAAAGUUGGGUAAUUUUAUUAAAUAAUUUUAAUAUUUAAAAUAAAAAUCAAAUAAUAAAUUAUAAUUUAAGAAUAAUUUAACUUAAAGUCAAUUUAAAUCAUUAAAUAAUACUAAAUUCUUUGUAAGUCUCAUGUAUUUGUGUGUGUGUUUUUUUUAUCUUCUUAUAAUUUAAAAAUUAAUUAAAUGUGUUGUUUAAUAUUUCAUUGACAGGUAUGUGUAUUUGGUGUUUUUUUUGCCUGGUUGUAAUUUUUUUAAAAGAAAUUAAUUAUAUAUGUUAGGAUAAUAUUUAAUUAAUGAUUCUCCGUAUUAUAAUAUUUGGUGAUUUUUUUGUCUUAUUGUAAUUUUUCAAAAAUCUGUUAUAGUAAUACUUAAUUGACAACUAGAUGAACAUAAAAUUGCAUUGAAUGACAUAUCAAGAGAAAAGAUUCCAUACCAUAAUUGGUAUUUGAGAAAAAAAAAAACAAAACAAAACAAAAGAAAUUACUAAAAUCAUUUAUAAAUAUAUUUUUAUAGAUUUAUUUGAAUAAAUUCAAAAUAAAAUAUUUAUGUUAUUAGAUAGAUUAAGUUCCUAAUAUUAAAUAAUUUAAAAAGUGAAAUUACCUGCCUCCACUGAUCUGUUAAGUCGAUGAAUAUAUGUUUGAUUACUGAAUUUAAAAUGAUCAAAUUGAGUACUUUCAAUGCAUAUUCCUAUUUUUAUUUUAUUUUUUAGAAUUGAAGUAAGCUUGAAUAUGGAUUGAUGGUUAAUAUUAUAACUUAAAAUCAAAAUAACUUCUAAAUAUUAAGUCAAAAUAGUUAACUUUAUUUCAAUUAGAAAAUUUUUGUUUUGCUUCAUUUACUCAUGUUACUAAGAAUAUAUUUUGGGACCAUGAUUCCAUCUCUAUUACUUAUUUUUGUAAUAAAUAUUUUUAUGGUUAUGAUAUGUAUCUAUAAUAUAAUAUUUUAAAUACAUAUAAAAUAAAUUUAUUAUAAAUAAUUAUUAAUUAAAAUUAAUAACAAUAAAUAUGUGUGAACCCCGCAUUUCUGCACACACGCUUCCAUUCGAUGGCGAACUCGCUUUUUAUUUGGAAAAGAUUUAUUUUUUUUUAGAAAAUGACUUGGAGUUGCCACUUAUUUUUGUUUUAUUUUUAAAGGCAAAACAAAAUAAGAAAGAAAACCCUAAUUGUAACUCCUUAUUUGAAAAAGAUGGUCUAUGAAAAAACAAAUCUGGGUUUCGAGGUCAGGUUACUUAUUGGGAAGGUACGACAAAGACCGUAGCACCCUUCUAAACCCCUAAAAUGGGUCUCUACUAAAUAAAAUGAAGUAAACAUGACAAUUGGUAAGGAAAUUAAUGGAUAUCAAAAUGAUCAUACACUGGAAGCAAAACAUGCAUAGAGAAUAGUCAAAAAGAGAGUGCAAGCAUACCUUAACAACAAGCAAUAAUGCACUAUCAUGAAAUGAGGUUAGUGCACAAUAAUGAGCAUAAAAUAUGUCAUAUGCAUCACUAAAUAGAAUAAGAAACAAUUAUUGAUAGAUAUUGCACUUCACUCAAAUUUAUUUAUUUUAGAGAAAACAUCAAUGUUGUUGGACCCCACCAAAGCCCAAUUUAUUUUUACAUGAAUCAAUUCCAUAAAUUCCAUCAUUUGUAAUUACAAAAUUAAAUUCAUGCUUAUUUUAAAACAUUUAAAAAAUCAAGAAAAAUGUGAAAUGAUGCUUGCCGAAAAGAAAAUGGUAGCAAAUUUUAUUGAAAAAUGGGAUUUUUGGUGAACCUAAACUCUAAAGAAGAAUGAAAAGUUGAGUUAAAUUAUUUGGAAACUGGAUUUUCAAAAAAUCAGUUUUGAAGGUAAAGGAAAUAAGCAUGUGGGUUUUGAAAAUGGGCCUAGGAUGGCCAUGCAAACUGGAAUCAUACACGUGGGCCCAAGGUACAACUGGUACUGCAUUGUGAGGUUGGUGAUUGCAUGAAAGAAAAGGAAAGUUGCAUGAAAAACACCAACAAGCCCUUCCACCAUAGAAUCAAGGGAACUUUCCUCCAGUAAGUUUACUUUGAAUAAGUGAAGUCUUUUUUUUUUGGAAAUAGUUACUAAGCAAUCAUAUGCUUCAGCAACUGAAGUACUAUCGACUUUUAUAAUUGCCCUAAACUCCCACCUAAUUUGAUUUAUGAUGACACUUCCCUUCCCAAACAUGCCACUAGUGUUUCCAAUAGGACAAACCAAACGAAGAGAAAAUUCCUUUGAAGAUGCCUCAUCUCGUGGAACUGAGUAAAGGGAGCGUGACCAGUCUCCACUGUCACCUCUAUACCCCCAUAAGUACCAACCAAUGGAGCUAGACCCAUGAUUGGAGCACCAGAAGUUGGACCAAUGAGUGAACCACCAGAUGAGUAUCCAAUGGGCACAAUAGAAGCAAGCAAGUGUUGGAUUAUCAUGAAGAAGAGAUGCAAUUUGAUAAAAAGUCUUCCUAACAAGGGACGUUCUCCAGAAAUCUGAACAAGCUCAUCGAAACUUAAUGCACAAGAAAGUAAGUGAUCAUUCUUUAGAAUGUAAAUUUGUGCACCACUUUCACUAUAUAUAUUUUGAAUUAUUUGUCCACCUUUCCCAAUAACACAUCCUAUCUGAUCAGAUGUCACAAGAAGCUGAACAGUAACUUGGCUUGCUUCUUCAAAAUCCUCACUAUGCACUUUCUCUGAAACAACUUUAUCAUGCACCCUAAAGAGAGCAUCCUGAGUUGGAGAAACAAAAGUAUAUGAAUCAUCAAAGGCAUUGGUUUCAUCACUGAAGUUGUAGAUAGUGACCACAAGCUCCUCACAUCUUGACACUGUCUCAUCAAUCCUAAUCUUAAAUUUAGUAUCUACCCUCAGUUGCUUGAUAAUCUCCCUCCCCUCCUAAUUAUACUUCCAAUCUUUCUUUCAGGGCAUAUAGAUCGAUAUAUACAGUAUCAUCUGGUCCAAUGGUAAAAGGGUUUCUAUCAUCACCAGGAUUUAUCCUCUUAUUUCCUCCAUUAUCACCAUAAUCAGAUUGGGACUGGGCUUGCUUUUCAUAACUAUUCCUCUUACCAGCCAUCGUGAAAAAAAGGACUUGCUAUCUUGAGGUUGGGAAUGGAGAUGGAACCAUUAAUACUUGUCGAAUGCAACUAACCUUUUGACAGUAUGGGAAAUAUUCAGCUCACUAAAAUCAGAAGUCAACAAGGCCUUUGAAUUCACGUUCUGAUUGAAGUCGUCAUCAACUUGAAGCUAAAUUAGGUAAGCAUCUCAACGUGCUGCAACUUUUCCAAGUUCUCUUCAUUUUUCCAAUUUUCAUAAUAGGCUUCCUUGCGUCCUCCAUUAAUUUCUACCCAUGCUAGAAAAUGUCGUGCGUGUCAUGCAAAUAGGGGAAUGGGAAAGGUGACAAGGAGAUUAGGUAGAGGGUCGGAUAUAGGUGGAUGGUUGCGUGGGGACCAUCGAGGAUGGUUGUGUGAGAAAUUCAUAUGAUGCAUUCAAUUCUAAAUCAACACUUGCAAGAUGAACUGAAUCUGUAAAAGACUAGGCAUAGUCUACUUACCUCCAGCCAUUGAUUCAAGUUGUUGUAAUUGGUUUCCAAACUCUGAUGAUCUCCUAUGGAUUGUGUAUUACUGAAGAAUGAAAAACAGUAGAUCACGAGUUCGGAACCAUAUGUGAAAUAUAUAUACGUGGCUUCCCAUCAUACCACGUCUCUGCAGAUUUGCCACACCCUCCUUAAACGCAACAGAAAAAGUGCGAUCAUGGUGGAGGACGUGGGUGUGACCACUUCAGAAUCACCCCUUCAUGGUGGUGAACGUGGAGAUGACAUGGGGUGAUAAUAUUCUCCCACUUGGUCCACACCUUUAACUUAAUGUCCUAUCUUAAUCCAUCAAUUAUCCAUAUUAAGUAACAAAUACAUGAAUCAUGACGAUAAGUCCUCUAUAUAACGAGUGUUAUCUUCCAUGUAUUACAGUGCAUUCAUUUCUUAACAUUUUACUUUAUGUGGCAAUAUUAAUAUUACUUAAUGAAUAAACCCUAUGUUCAUUCUUGGUCCAAUGAAGUUGAAUUUUCCCAAAAUUAAAUAAAGGUGCACAUCAAUAUGAGAAAACAUCAUAAUAAGAGUUUGUGCAAUAAAAACUACAUAAGGGAACUAAGUCCCAUGUUCAUUACAUGAUCCUUGAAUUUCAACGGUGGCAUGCCCUUAGUCAAAGGAUCAGCAAUCAUCAAUUCAGUGCUAAUGUGCUCAAUGACCAUUUUCUUUUCUUUAACACAUUCUCUUAUGGCUAGAUACUUAAUGUCGAUGUGCUUGCUUCGACUUCCACUUUUAUUGUUCUUAGCCAUAAAGAUUGCAGCUGAAUUGUCACAAUAUAUACUCAAUGACCUAGAUAUUGAAUCCAUAACUCUAAGUCCGGAAAUGAAACUCUUAAGCCAUACACCAUGUGAAGUAGCCUCAAAACAAGAUAUGAACUCAGCUUCCAUAGUAGAAGUAACAGUCAUGGUCUGCUUAACGCUUCUCCAAGAUAUAGCUCCAUUGGCCAAUAUAAAAAUGUAUCUAGAUGUUGAUUUACGUUAAUCAACACAGCCAGCAAAGUCUGAAUCUGAGUAGCCAACUACCUCUAAAUUGCUUGUUCGUCUGUACAUAAGCUUGUAAUCUUUGGUUCCUUGAAGAUAUCUCAUCACUUUCUUUGCAACUUUCCAGUGGUCUAUACCUGGGUUACUCUGAUAUCGUCCUAACAUUCCAACAACAAAUGCAAUGUCAGGCCUUGUGCAAACCUGAGCAUACAUCAAACUUUCGAAUGUAGAAGCAUAUGGAAUGUUCUUCAUCUGUUCCUUCUCAAGAUCAUUUUUCGGGCAUUGGUUCAGAUUGAACCUAUCACCCUUCACUAUAGAGGAAACACUAGGUGAUUCGAUGCCCAGCCGGGUCUUUUAAUCAAAAACAUUUAUAAAACCUAUGACCUUAUACUGGCGUAGCAAAGCUACUAUAGUAUAGCAGUUCUAGGGUCGAACUCAGGGAUGGGUUUUCACUCUAUCAGUGACAGACUCUAAAUUAGAAAUUGAUUCUGAUGAUUUCCUUUAGCACAAACUUGAAAUUUAAAAGAAAAUAAAAUUGUUUUGAAAGUGGUGAUUUAAACUAAACUCACAUAGAACUAAGUAAAAAGUGGAAGAAAAAAAGUCUCCCGGAGCUAAAGGUUGCUAGGUUCAAGUUCCAUAUGCAAAGUGGAAAAUUCCGGAUUUUUCUCCUCGCAUUGGGGAUUUAACCUAUAGUUAUUUCCCGAACCGGUAUAGGUUUGACAAUGAAGUUUUAAUCCAUAAAAAGUCACUAGAGAUGGUAGUCAAGGUCCAUUAAUGGCUUAAGACACUAUGGGCUAUCACCUUGAAUCACUUUCCAAUGGCUCGUACAUGAUAACUAAUGGACUGAUAUGGAUCUAGCAAUAAGCAUCCACAGAGACCUUAAGCUUACCAUGUAUUGGCCAGUCAAAGUGAUUCGAAGGGAUUUAAGGCAAAACCUUGGCUUUAAAAACCAUUUAUGGACUCCAACUACCUGAAUUUAAUGCACGGAAACUUUCCAUGUUUUAAUCUGGACUUUUCACCUAGCUUCCUUUACUCCAAGAAACUAAAUGUUUAGCCUCUCAUCCUCUGGGAAAACAUCCUCAGAGGGUGUUUGGCUUGCAAGAAAAUAGAAAAUAGAAGAGAGAAAAAGAAAGCAAAAGAGAUCUCUGUAUUUCACUAAGUAUCAAAUUUACAUCAUUUGGUCUCCUGGAGAAAGCUCCCCGAAAAAUUUUCAGUGAUUACAAGAGAAUUUAUAUAGGAAGGUAAUUUUACCCUUCCUUGGAUACUUCCUAGCUAAGGAAUUACAUGAGUGGUUGAAUACAAGGAGAAAAUGGAAAUUUAGACACAAAAAUAUCAGAAGAAAAAGAGUCGGCAAAAAUAUCCAAUUUUCGCAAGCUGGAGUUCCAAUUUCGCACUUUGAUUUGAGGUGUGCGAAAUUUUCGCACAGUGGACUGAGGAAUUCGCACCUUGAUUUCCAUCGUGCGAAAUUGUCCCUCAGCUUGAUGCAGUUGUCUUCCGAAGGCCAUAUCUUUCUCAUUUCAGAUCCAAAUCGUACAUGGUUUGAACCGUUGGAUUCUUGACUUUCUGAGCUUUGAAAUGGUAUAUAGAAUGUAAAAAAUGGACAUCGGAAAGUACUCCAAAAGUGCAAUGAAAGACUGAAGCUGUGUCCCCUGUUUUCAUCUCCUGUUUUCCUCUUCUCCAUUGUUUCUUCCUUGUAUACUUUGAACGAAUAAGGCAAAGGAUUAUGAGGCUCCAUAGCUUGAUUUCUUCAUAAAUUUAAGCUUUCAAAAGCUUUGCCAUGAACUAUAAAUAGCUCUCCCUCAUUCUUAAAUUGCUUUGGUGAGCAUAAAGCUAUCAAAAAGCACCAAAACUUAACACAAUUGUUAGAAACGAUUGCAAGGAUCCCUAACAUGUUAAUUGGGUUAAAAGGUAAUAAUUACUACUCAAGGGUGUUUAAAAGAGCUAAUUACAAGCUACAAAAUAGCAUGUUUUGAGUAGUAAUCACUCCCCCCAACCGAUACAUUGCUAGUCCCUUAGCAAUUAAGGAGAGAAAAACUAAGCAAACGUAAUAAUAUACAUAAAAGAGGUCAUGCAAUUCAUUCCAAAAAAUAAUUGAGAGGCAUGACUGAUAUCCAAACACAUCUCACCUGGUGAACUAAAGAUAUGAAGAUUCAAAAUGCAAUAGGAGUUGUCAAAGCUUAAAACUUAAACAAAAAGUACAAAGAGUGGAGAUUAUGCAAUUAAGUAUCAAAAGAAUCUCUACUCUCAAGGUUCCAAAUCAAACUCUUCCAUAAUAAGCUAAGUGUUAAUGAGAUUAGCUUCUGGAUAUAGUAUAUACAACUAUCCUCACCCUCCAACCUAAGCUUUUCUCGAACAUUGGCAAAAUUAAUCAACUCUUAAUAGGUUAGGAACGCACCUUCUUAUUCACAAUUCUUUUUACUCACUAAUCUUAACCAAUUCACCUAUGUAGCAAGCAGAGGAUCGAUGACUCCCAACCAAUCAAGGUUUAGGGCAUCGGGUUUUAAAGGCUUUCGCCACCCCUUCGGAUCAUGCUUAGGUUUCAAGGAAAGAAUAGAAGCUUAUUCUUCUUUCUUCUUUUUUUUUUUCAAAGACUCAUUGGUCUUUAUGAGGUGUCCCAACACUAUUAAAGAGAGGUUAAGUAAUGAACCAAGUCAAAAUUUUCCUAAGCUUAGAAGGUGAGAAAGUUUUACAUCAUAUAUCCGGGAUCUAAUGUGCACAGUGGUGUAAAGCUUGAAAUGGAAGAAGAAAGUUCGAAAUCAAAGAGGCUUCAAUAGAUUAUCAACUUUGAAAGCAUAAAACAAACUCUAAGACUUGAAUAAUUAAGUUAAAACUCGGCUUAUCCUAUUUUAUUUUUGAGAAAUUAUCUUUAACAACCAUAGAGAAUGAUUCAAAAAACUUUUAAAAAUUUUAAAUUUUAAGCAAAAAUCAACUAAAAUACCAAAAUAACUUAGUAUUAACAACAAAACUUCCUUUCUCAACUCUCCCCCAACCAAGUUGAACAUUGUCCUCAAUGUUUCGAAAGCGAUUAAAAAUAAAGGGAGGAAGUGGUACCUCCUGAGUGAGACAAAGUCUGAGUGUAAAGGAGGUAUGGAGUACCUUAAACCACAUGUUCCAAGGACAAAAGAGUAAUGAGAAAAGGGAAUAUAAUGAAAAAGGAUGUAUAUAUAUAUAUAUAUAUAUAUUACUUGUAAAAGAAAUAUACAAUGUAUGAUUUCAAGUAAUACUUCCAAUCCCAGUUUAUAACACAUGCAAAAGAUGGGAUUUACAAGUCUAAAAUAAAAAACAAGUAAAAUAUAAAAAAAUCAAAUAUGAGGGGUGUCAUGUGAUGGCUCUGCUCUGAUCUCCUCCUCUGGUAUGGGCUGCUCAGCUGGUAAGCUCUCCUUAUCUGGGACUAGAGGCUCGGAUGGUGCAGACCUAUCAUGCCCAAAAGGUGUCUGCAUACUCAAAUGCUGCUGAAUCUGAUGAAGGAUCGUGGUAUGCUGGGCCUGAGUAGCAAUGAUCUGAUCCUGGUGUGCCCGAAUAGUGGCCAUCUGGUGGAUAAUAGAAUCCUGAGCAGUGCUCAGUGUCCGCAAUGAACGCUCUAAGCCUCUGAAUUCCGUAAGAGAAACGGUGACAAUGGGCUCAGAUGAAGGAGGAGGUGCUGGGGUAGAUGGCAUGACUGGUGGAGCACCCGAAGUGAUAGGAGAAAUAGGAUGUAUAGGCUCAGGAAUAUGCUCUGAGGGGUGUGCUGCAGGGGCAGGAGGUGUGGUCUAGCUCUGUGAGAAUCUCAUCCUGCUGGGCCUGAGGCAUCUGCUCAUCUUGGGGUAGCUUUGGAGGUGCAGGCACAACUGGGGCUUCCUGGGGUGCAAAGUAGGCUACCAAGUGAUGCCAUUUGUCGAGAGAGAAGUCCUCUCGGCAAUGGCGGCGCCUCUCAAGACGGGGCUGUUCAGGAUAGCCCAGGUGCUCUAAAAUCUGGCAGAGGAGCCUCAGAAAUAGUAAUGGGAUGUCAUCUGCCCUUUGAAGCUUCUUCUGAUGGACUUUCUCUUCAAAAUGAAGAAGAGAAGUCAUAAUCAAAUGAUGAGGGCCGAAGAAAUAGCCCUCAGAAAUCCUAAAUAACGCCUCAAGUAUAGCUCCUCGCCUCUGAACUUUGUGCUGAAGGGGGAAAAGGUUGGCAUGCAGGAGCACAUCAAUAAGGAGCAUCCCAGAUGGAAGCUCUCUCCUAGUCAACACUGAGGCUAUAGAAGUCCCCCUGGACAAAAUGCGGACCAUGUCACUCUUAUGGAUGGUGUAUUACUGAAAAAUGAAAAACAGUAGAUCACGAGUUCGGGACCAUAUGUGAAAUAUAUAUACGUGGCUUCCCAUCAUACCACGUCUUUGUAGAUUUGCCACACCCUCCUUAAACGCAGCGGAAAAAGUGCGAUCAUGGUGGAGGACGUGGGUGUGACCACUUCAGAAUCACCCCUUCAUGGUGGUGAACGUGGAGAUGACGUGGGGUGAUAACAUUGUGUAAUGCAAAAGUUGUUUGCGCAUAGGGUAUGAAUAAAAAGGUAUGAGUGAGGAAUUGAAAGAAAUGCGUUUGGAAAAUAAAGUAUCUAAGGUGGCCAUGCAAGCUAAACCUAUGUCUGUGCGAGCCCGGGAUGGAAUGGCUGAUGAGCAAACUGUGCGAGGAUUAUAGAACUUGAACUCUCAUCAUAAUGUGGGGGUUGCCAAUUAUUGAAGAUGCUAUGAUUAGGAAUAAGCAGAAAUAGGACAUAUGUGCAUUGAAGUGGUUGCACAUGUGGGCUGCGCACCCAUGGGAAAGAAUGGAAAGAAGUUUAAUUAAAGGGAAUAGUGAGAAAAAUGAGUUUGGAGGUGGCAUGAAUGGAAAAGGUACUGAGAGAAGUGGGAUUACAGGGUAUUGAAAGAUGGAGAUAUGGGUAUGGUGGUGGAAUGAGCUGCUGGCAGUGGGUGUGAUAGAUGGGGAGUGAUUAGAUAGGCAUGGUGAUGGGUGUGUUGAGGUAUGAAGGUUAGGAGGACAAUGGGCUAGUCAUAAGGCUUUAGGCGUGGAGCAAUUUAGCUUGGGAUUCAGAUUUGGAUGGAGAAGGGACUUUGAUGGAGGGUUUUACAAAGAUUUUGUAUGGCCAUGCAAAGGUGGGGGAGUUGGUGGCUACAUCUGCAUUCACAUCCUUGGGCACCACAUCACCCCUGUACAUCAAUCAGCAAGCCAUGUAUUUUCCAUGGCGAAUGUCACAUUUAGCCAUCAUGGAAGAUGACUCAAAUGCACUGUUGGUGAUCUCUACAACUGAAAACUGCUCAUGAUAGUUGUGUUCCCUCACCAUGCGCAUUCUCAGGAGCUCCAAAGUACCGACAACCAACAUGCCAAAGAUGUAGAUAACCAAACCAAUUGCUAUCCGAUGAAGUUAGGUGAAACCACUUUUCUGGCCUGUGAAUUUCCUAGCAAAAGAUACGAUAAAACGGUCAUAGAUGGGGGCUCAAAAGAUCACGCUGAUGGUGUCAAAGAGUGAAAGAGAGGCUGACGGAAUCUGGAAGGAGCCGGUAAUGCGAAGGUCCAUAGUGUUGCCUUGGAGGACAAAAGGGUGCCCAUCUGACUGUAUACUGUCGAAAACACGAUGCCAAUGGCCCAAAUGGGCUGCAACCUUAUUAUUGAUUUGAGUUCCUCAACUUGGGUCACAGUGCAGAGUCUCUAGGGAUAUAUAGAUCCUUUUAUCGCAUCAAUGUGUGUCUCCACGGUUGCCUUAUCAAAGAAACUCACCUUAAGUUCUUUGUGUGAUCAAGCUUGUGGCUUCUUGUGACAGCAGAUUCACUGUCUACAAUCUCAUAGAGUAGAGACUUAUCAACAGGCACCUCUACUUGAAAUUUCCUCAAGGAUACAACUACCACCUGGCUUUUGGUUUCGGUAUAAUCGGGUGCUUGAGAAGGAACUCAUAACAGCUAUUCCCAAGUCCACAACAGGGAUCCCAAAACCCUAACCCCAAUAAAUCUCAACUGCCUUUAGAAUCCAUGAGCUGAGAAUAACUUCUAGUCGUAUCCAUGACCCCUUUUUAGCAUUCUCACAACUUAACGAGCGUGCUGCAACCUUUCAUACCCAUAGACUGAGAAUACAUUAUUUGUCGUUCCUCACUCCCUCAGGCAGAGAUGAGAAGUUGGCUGCACACCAUGGGCGAGUACCAGGAAUAGAGGAAGAUAGCAAAAUAGAGCACCAAGGGUAGGAACAAAAAUGAACCCGUACAAGCCACGUUUCAUGUUUCAAUCAAUGAGCUUAGAUGUAGGGGUAGGCCAAAAUGAAUUUCAAAUGGGUUCAAAGAGAAAACAAGACAUGAUUGCCAAUAUCUCAUAUAAAAUCUCCAAACAGAACCCAUAAAACAGGUUAGAAAUCAAGCAUAAAAUGAGUGUAAGCAAACUCAAAUUCCAUAAAAAUAUGCAAAAUUCCCCAAUACUCACAUUUCAGACAUCAAAAUAAAAUCCCAUUAUACACAGAAAACAUAAUAAAAUGGUAUGAAAACAAAGGAAUCGACAGCUUAUAGAAAACAUACCUGUGUUAUUCUUCUUUCAAGACUGACUCCAACUCCCCUAUGUGCUUCCUUCUCCUAAAACCAACUCUCUCUUCCUUCAACUCUAUCUCUUCCUCUAGAACCCACUUCAACUCUAGUUUCCAUCUCUCUCACUCUAUAUCUAAUGCUUAGCUCACCAUUUUCACUCACCUAGAAAAACGAUUAAUCCCCCCUCCCAAAAUAUUCAACUCACCCUCAUUUUCUUCCUCAUCCCAGUUGGUUCUUCCCCUUCCUUCACUUCCUCAACUGCUUUCUCUCAAGCUCUGCCCCGCUCCUCCCACAACGGCCUACAACUCUCUCCAAAAUCCUCAAAACGGUCUCAAAAUAUUCCCCUACACCUGUUACCCGCUGAUUGCAUCUUCCAAAAAUGCCCACCUCUACUAACAGACGAGCUGUCAUUGUCUAAUGACCACUUUAAAGACGACACAUGGCUCUCUAAAAACCUUCCAUCUGGCAAAACAAACUGCUGCAAAAAUAACCCAAAAUGGGAGUCUACAAUAUGUUAAUUUUAGGAUUUGAAAUAAAUUUUAAGAUAAUUUUAUCAAAUAACCUUAAAACUUAAAAGUAAAAAUCAAAUAAUAAAUUUUACAACAAUUUAGAAAUAAUUUAAUUUAAAAUCAACUUAAACAUUAAAUAAUAAAUUUUAAGUUUUACUAAAUGUUCUUUAAGAGAUAUAAUGAAUUUGAUGGUUUUUUCGUUUUAUUGUAAUUUUAAAAAAUAAUUAAAUAUAUUAUUCUAAUAUUUAAUUGACAAGUCUCCAUACCGUGUAUUAGAUAGUUUUUUUUUUCUUAUUACAAUUUAAAAAGUUAAUUGAAUAUGUUAUACUAAUAUUUAAUUGAAAUUUCUUCAUAUAGUGUAUUUGGUUGUUUUUUUUUUUGUUUUUUUUUUGUCUUCUUAUAACUUUUUAAUAAAUAGUUAAAUAUGUUAUGCUAAUACUUAAUCAAGUCUUCACACUAUAUAUUUGGUGGUGUUUCAAUGUAAUUCUUCAAAAAGCUUAAUUAACAUGUCAUAGUAAUACUUAAUUGACACCCAGAUGAAUAUAGUGUACUCUAUUGUCGAGUGCAUCAACUAAUUUAAUUUAAUUGAGUGGCCAGAGUUGACUGGAUUUACCCAUUUAAAACAUGGAUGGCAUGAUCAUUAUGAUUUUCUUCAUCUUUACCAUUGCAACCUUACAACAGUGGUACUCCUCCCAGAAUCUAGAUCCGUCCACUGCUUCUCCUUUCCUCCCUUCUUCACAACAUGGUUGAAUCCUUUGCAUUUAGCAUUGCUGAUAGGCUUCUGGGAAAGGCCACCUCUCUUGCUCUCCAAUAAGUCGGCCUUGCGCGGAGUGUCUACAGCGAGCUGGAAAAUCUCAAGGCCACCUUAUCCACAGUCAGAGUCGUGCUCUUGGAUGGGGAGGAGCAGCAAGUCAAGAACCAUCAGCUCAUUAAUUGGCUUGGGAAGCUCAAGGAUUGUUUUUAUGAUGCAAAAGAUGUUUGAUGAAUUUGAAUAUGACUCUUUGCUACGGGAAGCAGUGAAUGAGGGAGGCAUUAAAAGAAAGGUACGCCAUUUCUUUUCCAGCUCAAAUCCACUCGCGUUCCGCUUUAAUAUGGGUAAUAAGAUGAAGGAGGUUAGAGAGAGAUUAGAUAAGGUCGCAGCUGAUCCGAAUAAAUUUAAUCUCAAGAAAAUGGGUCUCAAUGGGCCUAUGCCUGUCCUGAAUAGGAAGAGGGAAAACUACUCUUAUGUGCGUGCUUCCGAUGUCAUCAGAAGGGAUGAUGAUAAAGAAAAUAUGAUACAACUUCUAUUGCAUCCAAGCGAUGAGGUAAACAUUUUUGUUCUUCCCGUGGUUGGAAUCGGUGGUCUUGGCAAGACUACUAUGGCCAAAUUAGUAUAUAAUAAAGGGAGAGUAGUUGCUCAUUGUCAGAAUUAAAAGAAUCUGGGUUUGUGUUUCAGAUGAGUUUGAUGUUAAAAGGUUAAUAAAAGAAAUCUUUACUUCUGCCACUCAUGGCACAUGUGAUGAUUUACCCAUAGAUGAGUUGGCACGUGGUCUUAAAAUUGUAUUAGAUGAUAAAAAGUACUUACUUAUCUUAGAUGAUGUGUGGAGUUACUUAUCUUAGAUGAUGUGUGGAGUAAGAAUCGAGAUAAAUGGCUUGAGUUAAAAGCCUUAUUAGAUGGUGGUGCAAAGGGAAGUAAAAUAAUUAUCACUACACAUGAUAAAUUGGUAGCCUCCAUCAUGGGUGCUUGUCCGAUGUAUGAAAUAAAGGGUCUUUUUGAUGAAGAGUGUUUGUCUCUAUUUAUUAAAUGUGCAUUCAAGGAUGGUCAAGAUAACCUAUAUCCAAGACUUGUUAGGAUUGGGAAGGAUAUUGUCAAGAAGUGCAAAGGUCUUCCUCUGGCAGUAAGAACUUUGGGAGACUUGAUUUUUUUUUUAAGACAGGAAAAUGUUUGGAAGAGGGUGCGAGAUAGUGAAAUUUGGAAACUAGAGCAAAAGGAAGAUGAUGUUUUGCUCCCAUUGAAACUAAGCUAUGAUGAAUUGCCAUUUUAUUUAAAACAAUGUUUUGCAUCUUGUUCACUUUUUCCAAAAAACUUUCAAUUUAGUAACUUUACAUUGAUUCAAAUGUGAAUGGGGCAAGAUUUGAUUCAACCAUCAGAACAAAACGAAGAGACAAAAUAUAUUGGCAAUCAAUACAUUGAUGAAUUAUAACAAAAAUCAUUAUUUAAGAUGUUGAGGAAUAUGUACCAAGAGUCUGCUAUUCUUUCAAAAUGCAUGAUCUUGUACAUGAUUUUGCGAUAUUGGUGGCAAAACCUGAGUGUAACAUGUUAAAUUUUGAUAGUGAAAAUAUUUCUAUAAAAGUUUGACAUGUUUCAAUUUUGGAAACUGAUGGACCAAAGGAAGGAGACAAUUUCAAGAUUUCUUGGGAAGUUGAACAAUGUAAGAACCAUUUUAUUCCUAAAUUGUGAUGUUGGGUCAAAAAAUUAUACAUUUGUCAUUACUUGUCUCUUGAAAUUUAAAUAAAUGCGAGUGUUGGGUUUACAUAAUUUGAGCUUUGAGGAACUAUCAAAUUCCAUUCGUAAUCUCAAGCACCUCAGGUAUUUGGACCUAAUGGGCAAUUAUAGCAUCAAGAGACUCCCAAAUUCUAUUUGGAAACUGCACCAGUUGCAAAUAUUGCAUCUAGGUCAAUGUGUGUCACUUGACGAAUUACCAAGAGAUAUUGGGAAGAUGAUGAAUUUAAGGCAUUUGUUUGUAACAACACAAUAAAAGGUUUUUCCCCAUAAAGAGUGGGAGGUAGGGAGGAGAUGGUUCAACUCUCUUCGGAUUUUGUGCAUUAUGGGAUGUCAUUUGGAAUCUCUUAUGGAAGGGAUGCAAAGCUUCACUGCACUUAGAACAUUGAUGAUUGUAAAAUGUCCAUGCCUAUCGUCUUUUCUGAAGCACCUACUUGCAUUAGAGAACCUCAUAAUUAUAGAUAGUGAAAGCCUUGAUUUGGGGAAUAGGAAUGGGGAUAGGGAAGACAACAUUCAAGGAUUUGGAAGCCUAAGGAAUUUGUUCAUUUCUAGGUUACCAAAGCUGGAGAUUUUGCCUAUGUGGCUACUUCAAGUCCCUACUUCUAACAUUUUGCUUUACUUAUUAAUUAAUGAGUGUGAAAAACUUUAGAGAAUUGUUGGAAAAGGAAGAGUCACUAAGUCUCACAUCCCUCAACACACCUGAGAUUGAUGACUGCCUACAAUUCUCAAUUCUAUCAAAGGGAAUGGGUCACCUCACUGCACUAACAAAAUUGAAUAUUAAAGAUUGUCCUCAACUAUCAUCUUUGCCAUAAAAGAUGUUCCACCUUCCUGCCUUAACACACUUGAUGAUUGAAAAUUGUCCUGCAUUGGCUGAAAGAUGCAAGCCAGGAAUAGGUGAAGAUUGGAACAAGAUUGCUCAUGUACAAGAUAUAUAUCUUGAUGGCAAAAGAAUUGGAUCAACACUCCAUAAUCAGGUAAGAUAAAAAGUAAUCAUCUCUUGUACUUUUUUUUAUUGCUUCUUCAUUUUAUUAGGUGCAUAUAUCUACUUGUUUCUCCUAAUUGAUUAUCUUCUCUGUUGUUUCUUGCAUUGAUCUUGUUUAUUUACUCUUUGCUCAAUGAAAACAUUUUUUCCCUCUUUUUUUUUUUCGGUUUGGUCAAUUCAAUUUAAAUUUGUUAUUAUUCUUAAUUUAUAUAAAUCAAAAUCUCUCUAUACUUUUUGUGACACAUAAAAAACUAAUACGCUAGGUGACAAAAAAUGGAUUGGAUGAAGUAGCUGUUGGAACAAGCAAGGAGAUGGAUGGCUAAGGCUUUAUCAAAUCCUACAAAUCACACUUUGGAAGGAUGGAAGCACUACUCAACUAUUUGGUGGAGCAAUUAGUCUGAAAAAGCCACAAAUGGUGUUCCCUGGUGUGGUGCAUCAACUUUACUUCAAUUCUCUGUCUGUUGGAAAUUAGAAUGCUUACUUGCUUGUUGGAUUGUGGAGCUCUUUUGAUUCAGUUUUAUAGGUUGGUUGUGGCUAUUUGUUUCUAUGUUUCCUCUCUAUUGGACUUUUCAUUGUACAUUUGUUUCUUUAAUUUCAUUUUUCAUUGAUUG
rnacentral:lncRNA from 1 species